UCUCCGUAGGUGAACCUGCGGAGGGAUCAUUACAGAGUUCAUGCCCUACCGGGUAGAUCUCCCACCCUGUGUUAUUAUUACUUUGUUGCUUUGGCGGGCCGUUAGGCUCCGGCCCGACUACCGGCCCCGGCUGGUAAGCGCCCGCCAGAGGACCCAAAACCCUGAAUAUUAGUGUCGUCUGAGUACAAUAUAAUAGUUAAAACUUUCAACAACGGAUCUCUUGGUUUUG
rnacentral:misc_RNA from 1 species